rnacentral:rRNA from 1 species
AAUGAACGCUGGCGGCGUGCCUAACACAUGCAAGUCGUGCGCGAAAGGGGCUUCGGCCCCGAGUAGAGCGGCAGACGGGUGAGUAACACGUGGGUAACCUGCCCAGAAGUGGGGGAUAACCUGGGGAAACUCGGGCUAAUACCGCAUACGUUCGCGGGGUUCUGCUCCGCGAGGAAAGCCGGCCUAUGCUUGCAAGCUGGCGCUUUUGGAGGGGCCCGCGGCUGAUUAGCUUGUUGGUGGGGUAAUGGCCUACCAAGGCGACGAUCAGUAGCCGGCCUGAGAGGGUGAACGGCCACACUGGAACUGAGACACGGUCCAGACUCCUACGGGAGGCAGCAGUGGGGAAUAUUGGACAAUGGGCGCAAGCCUGAUCCAGCAACGCCGCGUGGAGGAUGAAGGCCUUCGGUUGUAAACUCCUGUUAGGGGACGAAGGGUCGACGGGUUAACAGCCGGUGACCUUGACGGUACCGUCCACGAGGAAGCCCCGGCGUAACUCCUGUGCCAGCAGCCGCGGUAAACGAUACUCG